rnacentral:rRNA from 1 species
AUAAGCUGCGAUAAGCUUCGGGGAGUUGCACGUAAACUUUGAUCCGAAGAUUUCCGAAUGAGGAAACUCACUUAGAGUAAUGUCUAAGUAUCAUUAAGUAAAUACAUAGCUUAAUGAGGGGAACCCGGGGAACUGAAACAUCUAAGUACCCGGAGGAAAAGAAAGAAAUUCGAUUCCGUAAGUAGCGGCGAGCGAACGCGGAAUAGCCCAAACCAGUGAAGUUUUCUUUGCUGGGGUUGCGGACACAUCAUCAACGAAGAGGUAUCGUAAACGAAGAGAGUUGGAAAGCUCCGCUAUAAAGUGUAAUAGCCACGUAGUUGAAACGAGAAGACUUUAGAUGUGAUCCAGAGUACCACGGGACACGUGAAACCCUGUGGGAAGCAGGAGGGACCAUCCUCCAAGGCUAAAUACUACUUAGUGACCGAUAGCGCAUAGUACCGUGAGGGAAAGGUGAAAAGAACCCCGGAAGGGGAGUGAAAUAGAACCUGAAACCCUGUGCUUACAAGCUGUGGGAGCACUUUAUAUGUGUGACCGCGUACUUUUUGUAGAACGGGCCAACGAGUUACGACAGUAAGCAAGGUUAAGUACUUAAGGUAUGGAGCCGUAGUGAAAGCGAGUCUUAAAUGGGCGUUAAGUUUUCUGUCGUAGACCCGAAACCGGGCGACCUACCCAUGAGCAGGAUGAAGCGAAAGUAAAAUUUCGUGGAGGUCCGAACCCACGAGCGUUGAAAAGCUCGGGGAUGACUUGUGGGUAGCGGUGAAAUUCCAAUCGAGCCCGGAGAUAGCUGGUUCUCCCCGAAAUAGCUUUAGGGCUAGCCUCAAGGUUGAGAAAUACGGAGGUAGAGCACUGAAUAUCCUAGGGGGCAUUGCGCUUACCGAAGAUUAUCAAACUCCGAAUGCCGUUAUUUUAUACUUGGGAGUCAGACUGUGGGUAAUAAGAUUCAUAGUCGAGAGGGCAACAGCCCAGAUCGUCAGCUAAGGUCCCUAAAUGUAAGUUAAGUGGUAAAGGAUGUGGGAUUGCAUAGACAACCAGGAUGUUGGCUUAGAAGCAGCCACUCAUUUAAAGAGUGCGUAAUAGCUCACUGGUCGAGUGAUCCUGCGCCGAAGAUUACCGGGGCUAAAACUUACUACCGAAGCUACGAUAUCAUUUAUGAUAGGUAGGGGAGCUUCCUAUGCAGGCUGAAGCAUGACCGUAAGGACAUGUGGACAGUAUAGGAGUGAGAAUGUUGGCAUGAGUAGCGAGACGUGGGUGAGAAUCCCACGGGCCGUAAACCCAAGGUUUCCAGGGGAAGGUUCGUCCGCCCUGGGUUAGUCGGGACCUAAGCCGAGGCCGAAAGGCGUAGGUGAUGGACAACAGGUUGAGAUUCCUGUACCACCGAUAAUCGCUUGAGAGAAGGAAUGACACAGUAGGAUAAGCUAACCACACUGUUGGUUAUGUGUGGCUAAGUACUGAGGCAGUCAAGGUAGGCAAAUCCGCCUUGAUAAUGCUGGGGUACGAUGGGGAGCGAAAUUAAGUAGCGAAGUAGCUGAUUUCACACUGUCGAGAAAAGUUUCUAUCGAGAUUAAAGGUGCCCGUACCGCAAACCGACACAGGUGGGUGAGGAGAGUAUCCUAAGGCCAGCGAGAGAACUGUUGUUAAGGAACUCGGCAAAAUGACCCCGUAACUU